rnacentral:tRNA from 1 species
GGCCUAUUAGCUCAGCUGUGUAGAGCGGCGUGCUAUUAACGCCAAGGUCGGAGGUUCGAGACCUGCAUGGGCCA